CGGAAGCCCUUGUCAGGUCUGUCACACUCAUCACGGUCUCUCCUAGGAUGGGGUUUUUAAAGGGUUUACUUCCUGCCCGGGGUAACGGGAGCGUACGCAGACACCGCAAACGUCGCCACAUACACCUGAAACAGGAGACCCAGUGAGAGUGAGUGGGGAGAGAGAGAAAGAAGAAAGAGGUGUGUUACUCUCCAUGUGCGGUAGAGUUUGUGAUGCUUGUGAGAAUCCCACACCAUAUAAGAAUCCUGUUUGAGUAUGUUUCAAUACUCUCACCAUGCGUGCAAGGACCGGGUGUGUGUGUUGUGUUGUGUGUGUACCUGCAUCCUAUACCCUCACCAUCCUGGUAGGGUCCUGUGUGUGUGUGUAACUGCAUCCUAUUACCCUCACCCUUCUUGGUACGGGUCCUGUGUGUGUGUACCUGCACUAUACCCUCACCAUUCUCUGGAGGGUCUGUGUGUGUGUACCUGCACAUUCCUAUACCCUCACCAUUCUCUGGUACGGGUCCUGUGUGUGUGUACCUGCAUCCUAUACCCUCACCAUUCUCUGGUACGGGUCCUGUGUGUGUGUACCUGCAUCCUAUACCCUCACCAUUCUCUGGUACGGGUCCUGUGUGUGUGGUUCGCUGUAUCCAGCAGCUCAGAGUACUCCACCUCCUCAACACAGCCUCUGCAGUGUGUUGAGGAGGCUCGUUGAGCUGAACAGGCAUGGCUAACCUUGGACAGGUCCUUCCUAUGUUGUUCUUGAGGAUUGUUCCAUAGACUGACACUGCUGCUGCUGGGCUGAGGGGAGGGGAGGGUAGUCCGCCUGCGGGCCACCUGAACACCCACUUCCUCUGAGCCUGCUGGGGGAGAGAGAGGGUUAGAGGUGCUGGUCUUAAAAUGGAUUGUACCUAGGA
rnacentral:lncRNA from 1 species